GGCGUGGCCAAGCGGUAAGGCAGCGGGUUUUGGUCCUGUUACUCGGAGGUUCGAAUCCUUCCGUCCCAGA
rnacentral:tRNA from 2 species